UAUGCACUACUCUCUUCAGUACGAAAGGACCAAGAGAAUGAAACCUAUAUUCACAACAAGUUUCCCCCACCCCGAAAACAAUAUAAAACCUGUAGUAUCCUUUCCCCCCAAAAACAGGGC
rnacentral:rRNA from 1 species